rnacentral:misc_RNA from 1 species
GUGUGGAGAAGGCGAGGGGCUUUGCUGGGUUGUGACCGUGACGGCAUGUGAGUGGUUGUUGAUGUGCGCACUACGUCAGGCUCCCCGCUUUGUUGCGGCCAACUGACGAGUACCACAUACCUCUUUCAUUCCUAUGUGUUGAAUUUCACUAGGUUUGAUGUUGCCUUCSUGGAAAUCGGACCGGGUUCGGAAUAAAAUGACGGAUGAUGCUUAUUUGUACUGCCCCUCGUCUUAUCCAAGCGUUUGAAAGGGGUACCAAGCUGGAUACUUUGGUAUUUUGAUUGCUUCGUUGUGUUGCCUAUCAUUUUUAUCGUUGAGUGCUCCAAAAAUUUUACGGGUGUUGUGCAUGCUAAAGAGUCUUGGGAAGCCUUUCCUUCGUGCUUAUUAUUUAUAGCUCGGUUUCGCCACCACCUG